rnacentral:rRNA from 1 species
UACGGGGGGGGCUAGCGUUGUUCGGAAUUACUGGGCGUAAAGGGCGCGUAGGCGGUCUGCUAAGUUGGAUGUGAAAACUCUGGGCUUAACCCAGAGCCUGCAUUCAAUACUGACAGGCUAGAGUUCUGGAGGGGAUAGCGGAAUUCCUGGUGUAGCGGUGAAAUGCGUAGAUAUCAGGAGGAACACCGGUGGCGAAGGCGGCUAUCUGGACAGAAACUGACGCUGAGGCGCGAAAGCUAGGGGAGCAAACAGG